UUAGAAUCAAGGGUGCACUUUAUUGUGACUCUCUUUUAUAAUUUAAACCAUCUUUAAACCCAAAACUGUCUGGUGUGCUUUAACGAGUAUAGCUUUUCAGUAGUACGCAUCAGGGACUUUAUUGUUCAAGUUGCAUUACCCCCCCUCAUAAGUGACCCCCCUUAUUUUUUGAAACCAUUACCCUUACAAGAAAGUUUUAAGAAUGUGAAAAAAUGGAAAUAUAU
rnacentral:misc_RNA from 1 species